rnacentral:rRNA from 1 species
UACGAAGGGGGCUAGCGUUGUUCGGAAUUACUGGGCGUAAAGGGCGCGUAGGCUGUGCUGUAAGUCAGGCGUGAAAUCCCCGGGCUCAACCUGGGAAUUGCGUUUGAUACUGCGGCGCUGGAAUGCAGGAGAGGAUGGCGGAAUUCCCAGUGUAGAGGUGAAAUUCGUAGAUAUUGGGAAGAACACCGGUGGCGAAGGCGGCCAUCUGGCCUGUAAUUGACGCUGAGGCGCGAAAGCGUGGGGAGCAAAAAGG